CACAUGCAGUCGAGGGGCAGCAUGAACUUAGCUUGCUAAGUUUGAUGGCGACCGGCGCACGGGUGAGUAACACGUAUCCAACCUGCCGAUGACUCGGGGAUAGCCUUUCGAAAGAAAGAUUAAUACCCGAUGGCAUAGUUCUUCCGCAUGGUAGAACUAUUAAAGAAUUUCGGUCAUCGAUGGGGAUGCGUUCCAUUAGGUUGUUGGCGGGGUAACGGCCCACCAAGCCUUCGAUGGAUAGGGGUUCUGAGAGGAAGGUCCCCCACAUUGGAACUGAGACACGGUCCAAACUCCUACGGGAGGCAGCAGUGAGGAAUAUUGGUCAAUGGACGAGAGUCUGAACCAGCCAAGUAGCGUGAAGGAUGACUGCCCUAUGGGUUGUAAACUUCUUUUAUACGGGAAUAAAGUGAGGCACGUGUGCCUUUUUGUAUGUACCGUAUGAAUAAGGAUCGGCUAACUCCGUGCCAGCAGCCGCGGUAAUACGGAGGAUCCGAGCGUUAUCCGGAUUUAUUGGGUUUAAAGGGAGCGUAGGCGGACGCUUAAGUCAGUUGUGAAAGUUUGCGGCUCAACCGUAAAAUUGCAGUUGAUACUGGGUGUCUUGAGUACAGUAGAGGCAGGCGGAAUUCGUGGUGUAGCGGUGAAAUGCUUAGAUAUCACGAAGAACUCCGAUUGCGAAGGCAGCCUGCUGGACUGUAACUGACGCUGAUGCUCGAAAGUGUGGGUAUCAAACAGGAUUAGAUACCCUGGUAGUCCACACAGUAAACGAUGAAUACUCGCUGUUUGCGAUAUACAGUAAGCGGCCAAGCGAAAGCGUUAAGUAUUCCACCUGGGGAGUACGCCGGCAACGGUGAAACUCAAAGGAAUUGACGGGGGCCCGCACAAGCGGAGGAACAUGUGGUUUAAUUCGAUGAUACGCGAGGAACCUUACCCGGGCUUGAAUUGCAACUGAA
rnacentral:rRNA from 1 species